GGAUCCGUAGCGAAAGCGAGUCUGAAUAGGGCGCUUUAGUCAGUAGUGUUAGACGCGAAACCGUGUGAUCUACCCAUGGGCAGGAUGAAGCUGUGGUAACACAUAGUGGAGGUCCGAACCGGUUGACGUUGAAAAGUCUUCGGAUGACCUGUGGGUAGGGGUGAAAGGCCAAUCAAACUCGGAAAUAGCUCGUACUCCCCGAAAUGCAUUUAGGUGCAGCGCUGGUCGCAAAGUUAUAUAGAGGUAGAGCUACUGAUUGGAUGCGGGGGCUUCACCGCCUACCAAUUCCUGACAAACUCCGAAUGCUAUAUAAUGUUUACCAGCAGUGAGGGCUUGGGUGCUAAGGUCCAAGUCCGAGAGGGAAAGAACCCAGACCAUCAGCUAAGGUCCCCAAAUAUAUGCUAAGUUGAAAUAACGCGGUUUGUCUGCACAGACAGCUAGGAUGUUGGCUUGGAAGCAGCCAUUCAUUUAAAGAGUGCGUAACAGCUCACUAGUCGAGCGGACGAGCAUGGAUAAUAAUCGGGCAUAAGCAUAUUACCGAAGCUAUGGAUUUACAGUUUACUGUAAGUGGUAGGGGAGCAUUCUAACAGGGUUGAAGGUGUAUCGUAAGGUAUGCUGGACCGGUGAGAAAAGAAAAUGUAGGCAUAAGUAACGAUAAUGCGGGCGAGAAACCCGCACACCGAAAGACUAAGGUUUCCACAGCUAUGCUAAUCAGCUGUGGGUUAGUCGGGACCUAAGGCGAACCCGAAAGGGACAGUCGAUGGACAACGGGUUAAUAUUCCCGUACUUGUUAUAAUUGUGAUGGGGUGACGGAGUGAUGAAAGUGUCGCGAACUGACGGAAUAGUUCGUUGAAGUACCUACCUAUAGGCUGCGCAGGCAAAUCCACGCGGCUUGGGGAAAUACGAUAGUACUCGGAGACUUCGGUUGAAGAGAUAGUACACCUAAGGGCUUCCAAGAAAAACCUCUAAACUUCAGAUUAUAAGUACCCGUACCGCAAACCGACACAGGUAGUCGAGGAGAGAAUCCUAAGGUGCUCGAGAGAUUCAUGGCUAAGGAAUUAGGCAAAAUAGACCCGUAACUUCGGGAGAAGGGUCGCCAGCAGCAAUGCUGGCCGCAGUGAAGAGGUCCAGGCGACUGUUUAUCAAAAACACAGGGCUCUGCAAAAUCGUAAGAUGAAGUAUAGGGCCUGACACCUGCCCGGUGCUGGAAGGUUAAGAGGAGAUGUUAUUCGCAAGAAGAAGCAUUGAAUUGAAGCCCCAGUAAACGGCGGCCGUAACUAUAACGGUCCUAAGGUAGCGAAAUUCCUUGUCGGGUAAGUUCCGACCUGCACGAAUGGCGUAACGAUCUGGGCGCUGUCUCAACGAGAAGCUCGGCGAAUUUGUAGUUCCGGUGAAGAUGCCGGAUACCCGCGAUUAGACGGAAAGACCCCGUGCACCUUUACUGCAACUUGGUAUUGGAUUCUGGGAUGGGAUGUGUAGGAUAGGUGGGAGGCGAUGAAGUGUCGGCGCCAGCCGGUGCAGAGCCAACCUUGAAAUACCACCCUUCUUAUUCCGGGAUUCUAACCUGUUCCCGUAUAUCCGGGAAAGGGACAUUGCCUGGUGGGUAGUUUGACUGGGGCGGUCGCCUCCCAAAUGGUAACGGAGGCGCCCGAAGGUUCCCUCAGGCUGUAUGGAAAUCAGCCGUCGAGUGUAAAGGCAUAAGGGAGCUUGACUGCGAGACCUACAAGUCGAGCAGGUGCGAAAGCAGGGCUUAGUGAUCCGGCGGUUCCGCGUGGAAGGGCCGUCGCUCAACGGAUAAAAGGUACGCCGGGGAUAACAGGCUUAUCUCCCCCAAGAGUUCAUAUCGACGGGGAGGUUUGGCACCUCGAUGUCGGCUCAUCGCAUCCUGGGACUGAAGCAGGCCCCAAGGGUUCGGCUGUUCGCCGAUUAAAGCGGUACGUGAGCUGGGUUCAGAACGUCGUGAGACAGUUCGGUCCCUAUCUAUCGUGGGCGCAGGAAACUUGAGAGGAGCUGUCCUUAGUACGAGAGGACCGGGAUGGACGAACCACUAGUGUUCCGAUUGUCGCGCCAGCGGCACCGUCGGGUAGCUAUGUUCGGAAGGGAUAACCGCUGAAAGCAUCUAAGCGGGAAGCCCACCUCAAGAUUAGGUUUCCCGGGUCGCAAGACCCCUGAAGACCCCUUGAAGACGACGAGGUUGAUAGGCUGGGUGUGUAAGCGCCGUAAGGCGUUCAGCUAACCAGUACUAAUCGGUCGUGAGGCUUGACC
rnacentral:rRNA from 1 species